AACUUUCGACAAUGGAUCACUUGUUUCUGGCAUCGAUGAAGAACGCAGCGAAAUGCGAUAAGUAAUGCGAAUUGCAGAAUGCCAGUGAGUCAUCGAAUCUUGGAACGCACAUUGCGCCCUUUGGUAUUCCGAAGGGCAUGCCUGUUCGAGCGUCAUUAUCACCCCUCAAUCCCCUUGCUUGGUGUUGGACGGCCGGUCGAGCGAUCGACCCCUCCGAAAGACAAUGACGGCGGCCUGUGGUUCCCCUGGUACACUGAGCUUUUCACCGAGCACGUACCGGACCAGGGCACCCGGGACCCGGUCCUCUCCUUUCACUAGGAAACUUCUAUGGUUGACCUCGGAUCAGGUAGGAAUACGCGCUGAACUUAAGCAUAUCAAUAAGCGGAGGCU
rnacentral:misc_RNA from 1 species